GGGUGUUUGGUCUAGUAGUAUGAUUCUUGCUUUGGGCGCGAGAGGUCGCGAGUUCGAUUUUUGCAACGCCCC
rfam:Triticum aestivum genome assembly, contig: Triticum_aestivum_CS42_TGACv1_scaffold_375207_5AL